rnacentral:lncRNA from 1 species
CUUGCUGAUGCCAUGGUUAAGCGUGAAAUGCCGUGGAUCCAUCAGGCUUAUUUAUAUGCAAAUCACAUUCAUGAGGUAAUUUGCAUGACCAUACAUGGUGAAUUUUGGGUGUGGAGAGGGCGGGGCAUGAAUCAAAUCCCUGCUGCGCAACUUUCCGGCUGGUCUGUGAUUUAUAAAGGGAAAGUGCGUGCAGGUGUGCGUAGGCAGGGUUUUAUAAAUCAGAUUUUUUUUUUGCCUACGCACUUUUAAGCUUUUCAACUUACGUACACUUUUAGUAUGGAUCCUACGCCAGGUUUUAUAAAUGAGGCCCCUGGACAUGUAGCUGUUGAAAUUAUUGUUCACAGUAGGCUAAAUGGGUGUGGCAAAAGAUUCCUCUGUGAAUUUAGCCUUGUAUACAAUAAAAAUAAAAUAAUAAAAACUGAUAUAAAUGAGAAGCUCAUUAAAUUUUAUACCAAAAUAUCCAUAGCCACAGGACUUCAUCCACAUCACAGGCUACAUUCUCUGUGAAAAAUGAUUUUAGGCCACUAAGAAUUAGGCACAGAGAUAUGGGGUUUAGUGUUUUAGCAACUGUGAAAAACUGUAAAAGCUUCACAAUAUUUCUUUCUUAAACACAUAACUCUAUUGUGUGAACCAAAUACUCAGCAGUCUGAACCCAUCUAUUAAGUCAGUCACUCUUAGCAAAACCAUAAGCACUUUUCACCUGGUAAGACACAACUUGCAAACACAUUUUUACUAAGACACAUUGUGCACAUAAUGCACUUGUGUUGCAUAAUGGUAAGCACGGGUAGCAAAAGUUAAACACAUUUGAAGUUAAGGGGGAAAAGGUUAAACACAAUGACUCAAAAUUGAUCAGACUCAUGGCUAAUGAUCUAAGGAAACCAACAUAAGCCAGUUCAGAGAGGUUUUUCCCAUUUGCCUAGACAGGGAGAAUGUGGCCUGUGAUUUGGUUGACGUUCUGUGGCAUUGCCCAGCAUGAGGACAUGAUGCUAUGACUGAAUGAUUGUAGAUACUGUAAGAACUUAAGUUUGAUGUUGUGGUUUAAUGACUACUCCACCUUCCUCUCCGCAACAAAUCUCCACUACAACUUCUCCCAUUCCUCCUCCAUCUUGUUCAAAUGUCUCAACCACUUCAACUGCCUCCCUCCUAGAACACCAGUCCUUGUCUGUCACCGAAACAGGGGUGAGGAUGGAGCUUGGAAGACUUUGUCCUGGGAAGGCAGCUGGUCCCGAUGGUGUGUGUCCAAGGCUGCUUAGAGACUGUGCUGCAGAACUGUGUCAACCUCUCCACAAGAUCUUCAACCUGAGUCUACAGCUGGGGCAGGUACCUGCUCUGUGGAAAACAUCCUGCAUUGUGCCAGUACCAAAAACAAAAUGUCCUGCUGAACUCAAUGACUACAGACCAGUGGCCCUCACUUCACAAAUCAUGAAAACCCUGGAGUGGCUGAUUCUACGUCUUCUGAGGUCUGAGGUCAAAGACAAACUGGACUCCCUGCAGUUUGCAUACAAAUAACACAUUGGAGUGGAUGAUGCUGUCCUCUACAUGCUUCACCCUGCCCUGUCUCAUCUGGAGGAACCUGGGGUUUAUGUGAGGAUCAUGUUCUUCGACUUUUCAAGUGCAUUCAACACCAUCCAACCCACCAUACUAAAAGACAAGCUCACAGAGAUGGGAGUGGAUCCUUCUUGUGUUUCCUGGAUCACAGAUUACCUGACAGGAAGGCCACAGUUUGUCAGGCUGGGGAACUGUGUUUCUGGGACAUUAAUGAGCAGUACCGGGGCUCCACAAGGGACAGUGCUGGCGCCAUUCCUGUUCACACUGUACACGUCAGACUUCAAAUACAGUACUGAGUCCUGCCACAUCCAGAAUUACUCAGAUGACACCGCUAUUGUGGCAUGUAUCAGAAAUGGACAAGAAGCUGAAUAUAAAGAUCCAAUAAGAGCCUUCAGUGACUGGAGUCACAAAAACGUCCUCCUCCUCAACACCUCAAAGACAAAGGAGAUGGUCAUAGACUUCCGCAAAUCCAAACCCCCUCUUCAGCCAGUGAACACCUGUGGAGUGGACAUUGAAGUGGUGACAUCAUGUAAAUACCUAGGUGUACAGCUGGAUAAUAAGUUGGACUGGUCUAAGAAUAUAGACUACAUCUACAGAAAAGGGCAGAGCCGACUUUUUUGCCUGAGAAGACUCUGAUCAAUAGAAGUCUGUAGUAAGACGCUGCAGAUGUUUUAUCAGUCUGUGGUGGCAAGUGUGCUGUUCUACGCUGCAGUCUGCUGGGGAGGAAGCAUCAAACACAAAGAUGCAAGACGUCUCAACAAACUGGUGAAAAAAGGCUGGCUCUGUGGAGGAUGUGGUGGAGAGAUCUACAAUGAGGAAGGUGGAGACUAUUCUCAAGAACAUGGAUCACCCACUUCACAACACCUUGAUGGACCAAAGGGCCAAUGGUGGUGGACGGCUCCUCUCUCUUCGCUGCAUGACAGAAAGAUUUAGAAGAUCUUUUUUACCAACAGCCAUCAGGCUUUAUAACUCUUACGUAAAUAAUAGAUAACUUUUAUAGACCUAUUACGUGAGACAACAGACAAUUGAAUUUCCCUUCAGGGAUCAAUAAAGUUCUUCUUCUUCUUGGCCGUGUGCUUAGGGUCAUUGUCAUGCUGGAAGAUGAAGCGUCACCCCAGUCGAAGGUCUCGAGCUCUCUGGAGCAGGUUUUCAUCAAGGAUUUCAAUGUACUUAGCUGCAUUCAUUUUUCCCUCGAUCCUGACAAGUCACCCAGUUCCUGCCGCUGAAAGAAAUCACCACAGCAUGAUGCUGCUACCACCAUGCUUUGCUGAAGGGAUGGUAUUGUCGAGGUGGUGAGUGGUGCCUGGUUUCCUCCAGACAUGAUGCUUGGCAUUCAUGCCAAAGAGUUCGAUCUUCGUUUCAUCAGACCAGAGAAUUUUGUUUCUCCUGGUCUGUGAGUCCUCUAGGUGCCUUCUAGCAAAGUCCAAGCGGGCUGUCAUGUGCUUUUUACUGAGGAGUGGCUUCUGUCUGGCCACUCUACCAUAAAUACCUGAAUAGUGGAGUGCUGCAGAGAUGGUGGUACUUCAGUAUGGUUCUCCCAUCUCCUCUGCGGAACGCUGGAGCUCUGUCAGAGUGACCAUCGGGUUCUUGGUCACCUCCCUGACCAAGGCUUGCUCAUUUUGGCUGGGCGGCCAGCUCUAUGAAGAGUCCUGGUGGUUCCAAACGUCUUCCAUUUCUUAAUGAUGGAGACCACUGUGCUUUUUGGGAUCUUCAAUGCAGCAGAUAUUUUUCUGUAACCUUCCCCAUAUCUGUGCGCCGAUACAACCCUGUUUCGGAGGUCUACAGACAAUUCUUUCAACUUCAUGGCUUGGUUUGUGCUCUGACGUGCUCUGUCAGCUGUGGGAUCUUAUGUAGACAGGUGUGGCUUUCCAAAUCAUGUCCAAUCAGCUGAAUUUGCCACAGGUGGACUGCAAUCAAGUUGGAGGAACAUUUCAAGGCUGAUCAGUGGAAACAGGAUGCACCUGAGCUAAAUUUUGAGUUUUAUAGCAAAGGGUGUGAAUACUUACGUAUAUGCAACAUUUGAGUGUCUUGUUUUGAAUAAAUUUGCAAAAUGUUCCAAAAAAAGUUUUUCGCUUUGUCAUUAUGGGGUAUUUUGUGUAGAACUUUUGAGAGAAAAAAGGAAUUUAAUCCAUUUUGGAAUAAGGCUGUAACGUAAAAAAAUGUGGAAAAAGUGAAGUGGUAUGAAUACUUUCCAGAUGCACUGUAUCCAUGGAAAACAAAACAAAGCCAACAAUAACAAAACAAAAUAAACAAAGCAAUAACAAAUAACUGACACAAAAGCGCAAGUAAAGAAUAAACAGAUAACAACAACCAAAAAGUAACAAAAAAUACACAAACAACAAAACACAAAGCACAUAUAUAAAAAGGAAAAAAAAAUUGCAUCAAAGAUCUGAUAUACUGUAAUUAGUGAAAGCAUGAACAAGUGAUCUCCAGAUGAGAGGACAGCGCGGUUUUGAAUAGUCAAAAUGAGGUUAUUGAUCGAAUCUGAACAGGUAGAUUGUUCCAAUCAGGAGGUCUUAAGAGGAAUAAAGCAGCUGGCCCUUACAAAAUCAGCCCCUCUGUUCUCCACCACUUCACGAACAUGCCAGGUUUUGUACCUACACCUUUAAAAUCUAUUUUGGUCAAAGCUCAGUUCUUAAGUUCUUCAAAGAGUCCAUUUUCAUCUCAGUUACCAAGCCCAAGAACAUCUCCUGCAUCAAUGACUAUGGACCCAUUGCCUUGACAUCUGCGGCCAUGAAAUCAUUUGAGUGCAUCAUACUCUGUUACCUCCCCUCUCAUUGACCCUUACCAAUUUGCUUACAAAGCCAACAGGUCAGUAGAGGACACAGUCAACCUAGCAAUCCACCACAUACUGAACCACCUAGGGCUCUAUUUUUGUAUCUGCCGGGGAUACGGCGGAGGGUGGUGGACCCCACGCAGUGGUAUUUUUGUCUGGCGGAGCCCGGCGUACAGCCAGUUUGGAAUUUUCGUAGACUGAGGCGCACUGAGGUCCGCCAAGCUGGGCGUGGUGGCGUGGCAGAGGGAGGUGUCGACAGAAUCAGCUGGCGCAGUGACAUUUUCUCGCCGCCGGCAAAUAAAGUGUGCUGAAAGCUCGCCGAUUCAAACCUGGUCAGCUUUCAGCACAGGCGGAGUGCAGCUGGUCUAGUGGUAUUUUGGUAGACCGGCAGCAUAUCCGCACCGAUGCUUCACCGGCAGGUUUCCACAGUUUCAGGCACAUUUCAGUGCAAUAAAUUAUCAACAACAACUAAUAAUCUGAGUCAGCACAUACAUUUCAAUCUAUGGAUAUAUUCUGAUCUAUAUCUGAUCUGAUGAGCGCGUUUGGCACGCGUUUGGACACUCUACCUGACCAGAUAAACACAACUUUAAACCGCAUUAAAUUAAAUUAAAUAUCAAGUAAAUGGUCAUACAUGAUGAAGUGAACAAGAUAUGUAAUUCGUCUCCCUCCUUCUCUUUCUUCCUCUUCCUCUUCUUUCUCACGCAGCUUGACCUGGACAUGUCUCAGCGUCCUCUCCCCGUCCUGCCGCAGCUGCUGCUGCGGCGGCUAAACAGAUGAUUUGUUUCAGUGAUCAGAUGAGUUAUUUACUUUAAGCCUACUUACGAAUAUUAUAAUAUUCAGUUUUGUGAGCCAAAUUUAUUUUAUAUUUUGUCUUACCAACAUUAUGCACACCAAAUCCCUCUGUGCUUAUAUGAGAUAGUGUGCAGGAUGCCCUCUGUAGCGUUUACAGUGACACUCGUUGAGGGGCUGCCUUCUGUCGCCAUCGUGUGGCAUUGCUGUCUUCAGACAUCUCUUGAUCUCUUUGACUACUUCACGAAAAUUGUAAUACGCCUCGCCGGAGGCGGAUUUAAAGGCAAGGAGAGGAGCUGAUGUUAUUGGUCAAUACAGGUCUCGGCUGUGUUAAACCCAAUCUACGCCCUCUCUCCUCCCUCGCUACGACUUACGCCGCUGGGAGGAGCUGAGUUAGGGAGGGGGAAUACUUAUGCCGGGCUGCUCCGCUCACCAAAAUACCAGAUUGUGCUUGGGAACGCCUUGUCGGCGCGGCGGACCUGACUUACCCCAUGCCACGUCUCCGGCGAAGCACGAAAAUAGAGCCCCUAGAGUCCACAAACACAUAUGCCCGUAUCUUGUUCAUGGAUUUCAGUUUAGCAUUUAACACAAUAAACAUGGCCAAACUAUUCAAUAAAUUACUGGACAUGAACACUGAUCCUUGCAUCUGUCACUGGGUUAACAACUUUCUCUCUAAAAGGCAACAGAAGUUGAAGAUCACCAACAGCAUGUCUAUCUCUUCUGACCCUUAGCACAGGUGCACCCCAGGGCUGUGUUCUCCCGCCCUGGCUAUUCUCUUUUUACACUAACCAGUUCACAUCACAUCAAAGUUCUGUUUAAGUAUGUGGACAAUUCCACGAUUGUAGGACUCAUCACCAGCUAUCAAGAAACAGAAUACAGUGUACUGAUCAACCAAGAAGUGACCUGGGGCCUCAUUUAUAAAGCUUGCUUACGCACAAAACCUGGCUAGAAAUUGCGUACGCCACUUCUUACGCAAGAGUUGGGAUUUAUAAACGAAAAACUAAAAGAAAACUCCACACCUUGCUUACACACUUUUUUGAGACAAUCGGAGCAAGGUGAGAAUAGUCCGGGUGAUGCGUUCAGCACAACGGAUGACUCGAUGCAGCCUUUCUGUCCUGAGAGCUGCAGCUGCCAUACCAGGCAGUGAUGCUCGCAGAAAGCACAGACCCCACUGUGGCGGUGUAGAAAGUUUGCCAAUUUGAAUUUACAAAUGUGCAAAAAAACAAAUUCCAUUUACAUGCAUUAGUUUUAAGAUUAAUAUGACUAAAUCUUUUUGGUUUACGAACUUUCACCACAUAAGCAGCGGUGGAUAACGGAGCGUUUUUUUUUUUUGAACACGUGCACGAGUGUCACAUGUGCAUGUUUUUUUUAUUCUCACCUGUCGCCGCCACGCUCUGAUGGUGCAAAGCCACUUUUUUCUUUGCCUCCACCUUUAGAUCAGACCACUUCUUCUUGAUUUCGGCACAGUUUUGUUUUCGUCUACGUCAUCGUCAACGAAAACAAAACUCCACGUGUUUGCGCGCGCGCGUGCGUGUGUGUCUGUGUGUUGGAGGAGCACAGCAGGCUGAUGAGAGCUGUCAGAGCGGACAGAAGCUGCUCCUAUAUGUUUAGCGUUUAACUGACUGAGUUUUGCAACUCUGGUCGUCAUUUUCGUCUCGUCCCAUCAACGUAAACGCACUUUCGUCUCGUCACAUUUUAGUCAUCUCCGACUUAUGUUUAGCUCGUCAACGUUACGUCUUCGUCGUGGAAGAAAAGGGAAAUAUUUCCGUCAACAAAAACAACCAGUGUUGUUCUCGUUGAUGAAAAUAUUUCUUUUUGACGCUGGUGUUGACGAAAAUAUUUGACGAAAUAUGACGAAAACAACACUGUUUCGGCAACGCUGCGCUCAGUGCCAGCCGCAAUUGCCACCACGGCAACUGCGUUUUUAUUGGUGAUGCCACUCGAAUGGCCGCCGAAUAAGGUCUCCCGUCUCGCCGCCACCUCAUUUACAGGAGCCUCCACCUCGAUCUCUGAAAAGUUUCUUUUUCUACGACUUGCUGAUGCCAUGGUUAAGCGUGAAAUGCCGUGGAUCCACCAGGCUUAUCUACAUGCAAAUCACAUUCAUGAGGUAAUUUGCAUGACCAUACAUGGUGAAUUUUGGGUGUGGAGAGGGCGGGGAAGAAUCAAAUCCCUGCUGAGCAUCUUUCCAGCUGGUCUGUGAUUUGUAAAGGGAAAGUGCGUGCAGGUGUGCGUAGGCAGGGUUUUAUAAAUCAGAUUUUUUUUUUUGCCUACGCACUUUUCAGCUUUUCAACUUACGUACACUUUUAGUAUGGAUCCUACGCCAGGUUUUAUAAAUGAGGCCCCAGGUGUACAGACAACAAUUUCCUUCUCAACACAUUAAAAAAAAAUCUUUAAUCUGAGACGCCAGCCAUCCUCCAAAACUUCUGUGCUAAUUAAAGUUCAAUCCAUCCUCGUUACUGACACCUCCAAAUUUCUGGCACCCACAUCAGUAAUAACCUCAAAUGGAAAACAAACUCAGAUCACAUCUACAAAAAAGCCAAGCAACAACUCUUCCAUUUCCAACAGCUCAGAAAGUUCAGAGUCAGGUUUCAUCUCCUGCUCCACUUCUACACAGCCAUUAUCGAAAGCAUUUUCUUCCAUUACAGUCUGGUUUGACAGUCUCAACAUUCCACCUCCAUGAACGAAUUACAGUGCAUCAUUAACAGAGCAUCCAGAAUCAAUGGUUCACCCUACCAUCACUUGACUUCAAGAGCUAAAAAAAAAUCAUUGCAGAUCCUACUCACCCUGCUCACUUUGCGUUCCAGCUACUUCCUUCUAGGAGACGCUAUGGGACAAUUGCCACUAAAACAUCCCAUUUUUAAAACAGUUUUAUUCCCAUUGUAAUAAACAUCCUGAACUCCAAACACUGAGGAACAAGCGUGACCCCCCUAUGCAUUAAGAAAUGUGUUUGUCUGUGUUCCCUAACGAAAAAUAAGUUUACCUCAAGUACAUUUUAUGAAGUAUACUAAAGUUCAUUUUAGUAUACUUCCCAAAGUAUACUUUGUACACUGAUACAAAUAAACUUCCAUUGUAAGUACAAGAAAAAUUCUUGGGAACAUGUUUUCUAAUACAUCCUAUCUACACCUCUCUAUCAUAGCCUGAGGGGGCAACCAGUGAUUUUGUAUUCAGAGCACCCAGUGCAAAAGAGUUUGAGUUAUUGAGUUUGUAGCCAAAAUGCAUUUAAUUCACAAACCCAUACAGUGACCUUGAACAGAUCAGGCAAAGGACGUCUUUCAUAAUUAACUUCAUGGCUUUAAACAAAACCCUGCUUGUUGAAGGGAAGCAUGCUGCAAAUACAGAAACAAUGCAAAUCCAACACUCUAAGUCUCAAGGGGGAGCUGUUAGUGGCACUGGUAAUAUAUUUGAUGAGCUAUAAGGAACAACCUAUUAAUGCGACCUAGUAGCCAAACAGACAUUAUGCAGCUCCACCAUCUCUCCCACCAGAUGGUGCUUAUGUGCCACAGAGAUGUUUGUCUGUUCCUUUAUCCAGAGUAGUUUCAAAGCUUGUUGUUAUCUUCAGUCUGUCCUUAUGUUCCUCGCCUGAACACCCGAACAUGUAUACUAUUUGGAAAGGACUACAUGAUGGAAAGACCAGACAGCAGAAAAAAAUACAUGAAGUAAACAACAUCAGAUAAAACAAAAGGACUGAGACUGAUCAGUAUCAUGUUUUCCAUUACAUCGUCUACUUAUAGCACAUGUUGGUCAAAAUGUAUAUUGGUAUUGCAUGAACAACAGAAAGUAAUAAUGAAGCUCUUAAUGUCACACUGCUGACGCCUUAUACAGAUGCUCCCAAUGUACAUUGUUAAAAAAUCUCUCAACACUUUUUUAAACAGUCAUUUAGCUGAUCAUUUCAACUAUAUUGAUCAUGAGAUCUUAAAAAUGUAGACAUUGAAGUGACUGUUCUCCAAGUGUUUAUGUGUAUUUUUAAGUAUAAAUAAGUAUAAAUGUUCAUGUCAUGUGACAAAGAAAAUACAUAAUAAUAAUGAUCCUAAUUCAGUCAGGAUCACUUUAGUGGUCCUGACUGAAUUAGGAUUAUAGACAAAUAAAGACAAAAAGCUCAGUAAAAAUGGAAUUGAAGGCCAUUUUCAUGUCAUAAGGAACCCAGACAAUACAAGAACCAUGCAACAUAAAAUGAGACCAUGAGAACCAAAAUAAAAACAUAAAAUAGUUAAGGAAAAAGGAAAAUGCAAUUAAAAGGGAGGACAAAAGCGGAAACAGGAUAGUAAUAAAUAUAAAAGGCAAUAUCAGCAGUGAUAAUAAAAUAAUAACAGGUAAUCCUGAUAAUAAAAGUAACGAUAAAACAGAGCUAUAGAAGUGAUCAAGAGAUAAAACAAUGAAAGGUCUAACAGGUUAAUUAAGAAAAGAGUACAAGUUUAACUAAAGCUAAAAAGACAGUAAAGCCGAAAUAAGAUAAAAGAGAUAAGAGAUGACAGAUAAAAGAUAGAGAUAAAAGAUAAAAGACGGCAUCACGUAAAAGCAAGUCUGUAAAAGUGAGUUUUUAAAUUUGACUUAAAAGAAGUGACGGUCUCUGCAUGCCUAAUCUCCUCUGGCAGGUCGUUCAAAAGUCGAGGAGCUUUGAUGGAGAAAGCUCUAUCACCUUUAGUUUUGAGUCUCGACUUUGGAACGACCAGGAGACCUUCGCCAGAGGAUCUGAGGCUGCGAGUUGGCUCAUAUGGUCUCAUCUGAAAUGUAGCUUGGAGCAAGUUCUUUGAGUGCUUUAAAAGUAAUCAAUAAAAUCUUAAAAUCAAUUCUAAAACUGACAGGAAGCCAGUGAAGGGAGGCUAAAAUUGGAGUGAUGUGAUGCCGUCGAUGAAAACCAGUUAAAAGCCGAGCUGCUGUAUACUGAACUCGUUGGAGGCGGGAGAGUGAUUUCUUAUUCAGCCCAGGUAGGAGAGAGAUACAAUAGUCCAGUCUUGAGAAAAUAAAGGCAUGGAUUAUUUUUUCGAGAUCUGGUGGGGUGAGUAUUUGUUUAAUUUUUGAAAUGGAUCGCAGGUGAAAAAAGCAGGACUGGACGAUCCUGUUGAUAUGGGUGGAGAAGGUGAGGUCUGAAUCAAAAAUUACUCUCAGAUUUCUGGCUGUUGGUUUGAUGAUUGCUGAAUGUGGACCGAGACAAGACUGUAUGAGGGGGGAAUUUUUUAGGUUACAGAGAAUUAUUUCAGAUUUUGAAUAAUUUAGCUGAAGGAAAUUUUGUGCCAUCCAACUUUUAAUGUCACUUAGACAGUCCAUGACAGCAGCUAGGCUUCUUGGGUCCUUAGGUCUCAAAUGAAGGUAUAUCUGUGUGUUGUCUGCAUAGCAGUGAAAGGAGACUUUGUGGUGCUGGAUUAAUUGGCCGAGGGGCAGCAUGUAGAUAGAAAAUAAAAUUGGACCUGAAACUGUACCUUGCGGUACACCACAGGCGAUAGCAGAGGUAGGAGGUGUGAUUGCCUAUGGUGACCACAAAGGUUCGCUCUAAAAGAUAUGACUGAUACCAGCCAAGUGCAGUGCCCCUAAUACCCACCCAGUUUUUAAGACGCUGAAUUAAAAUAGCAUGAUCAACUGUAUCAAAAGCUGCACUGAGAUCUAAAAGAAUUCAAAUUGAGCCCUCCCCUCUAUCUGCUGCAAAAAGAAGGUCAUUGGUCACAUGGGAAGGGCAGUCUCAGUGCUGUGACCUGCUCUAAAACCAGACUGAAAUUUCUCAAAGAGGUUGUAUUCAGACAUAAAACCUAAAAGCUGUUUAGAAACCACCUUCUCUAAAAGUUUGGCUAAAAAUUAAAGUUUUGAGAUUGGUCUUCAUUUGUUAAAAUCAGAGGGGUCAAGGUUUGGCUUCUUUAAAAUUGGUUGGACCACAGCAUGUUUAAAAGCAGAGGGGAAUACUCCCUCUGCCAGAGAGCUAUUAAUAAUGGAUAAAAUGCUGGGCCCAACCAUGUUAAAAACCUCUGAGAAAUCUGAUGGGGAUAAAAUCAAGACUGCACGUAGCUGGUUUCAUGUGGGCUAAAAUAUCAGAUAAAAAGGGUAAGAACACUGGCUCAAAACUACUAAAAUAGUGCUGAACUUCCCGACUUAAGAAUACAGGGAGACUAGGAGGGGUGAUUUGAUGCCUGAUGUCCAUAACCUUGUUAAUAAAAUAAGUUAAAACCUUCUCACAGGUGUCUUGAGAAGCAUCAGUAAAAUAAGAGGGAGAGGGGUUGGAAAGUGACUCUAAGACCAUAAAUAAAACUCUGGGGUUUGAAUAAUUAGCUAAAAUCAAAUUAGAGUAAAAUGCUGCCCUUGCAUCUUUAACUGCCUUCUGGUAUUUUUAAAUGGAGUCUCCAGAUUUCAAGGUAAAUCACCAGACCAGUUUUCUUCCAUUUACGUUAAUUUCUUUGAAAAAGAAAAGAUCAAACAAAGAACCCCAGCCCUAGCUUACAGAGUCCACCCAUGAAAAAUGUCAGAGGAGCUACAGAGUCCAGGAAGGUUCCACACAUAGGGCUCUAUUUUCGUGCGCGCCGGUGAGGCGGCGGAGGGCGGCGAGCCCCGCGCAGUUGUAUUUUCGUCUGGCGGAGCCCGGCGUAAGGCCAAUUUGGUAUUUUCGUGGACUGAGCCGCAUGGAGGCGAUCCGAGAUCCGCCAAGCUGGGCGUGGUGGCGUGGCAGGGGGAGGUGUCGACAGAAUCAGCAGGCGCAGUGACAUUUUCGUGCUCACCAACGGCGUGUAAAGUGCGCUGAAAGCUCGCCGAUUCAAACCUGGUCAGCUUUCAGCGCAAGGCGGAACGCAGCUGGUCUAGUAGUAUUUUGGUAGACCGGCGGCGUAUCGACAUACGUCACUGAUGCCUCACCGGCAGGUUUCCACAGUGUCAGGCACAUUUCAGUGCAAUAAAUAAUCAUCAACAACUAUUAAUCUGAGUCAGCAGAUACAUUUAGAUCUAUAUCGAUAUAUUCUGAUCUAUAUCUGAUCUGAUGAGCGCGUUUGGCACGCGUUUGGACACACAACCUGACCGAAUCAACACAGCUGAAACCGCAUCAAAUUAAAUUAAAUAUCUAGUAAAUAAACACACAUGAUGAAGUUAACAAGAUAUGUAAUUCAUCUCCCUCCUUUUCUUUCUUCCUCUUCCUCUUAUUUCUCACACAGCUCGACCUGGACAUGUCUCCGUGUCCUCUGUCCGUUUUGCUGCUGCUGCAGCUGAACAGAUGAUUUGUUUCAGCGCUCAGAUGCGUUAUCUACUUUAAGCCGACAUACAGAUAUUAUAAUAUUCAGUUUUGUGGGCCAAAUUUAUUUUAUAUGCCAACAUCUAUGAAAGAAAGAGCCAGGCCACGGAGCGCGAUGCGUCAUUUACGCACAGAUGGUUCCGAUUUUAAUGCCAUUUUUGGAGUUUAUGUUGUGAUCUGUGCGCUCAACCCACCUUUGUCACGUGAGGUUUGAAUAUGAGCAACUUUAUGUGAGUGUCUUUAUUUGUGGAAAAGGGUGUUUGUCUUACCAGUGGGUCCAACAUUACGCACACUAAAUCCAUCUGUGCUCAUAUGAGAGAGUGUGGAGGACACUUGUUGAGGAGCUGCCCUCUGUCGCCAUCUUGUGGCAUUACUGUCUUCAGACAUCUCUUAAUCUCUUUGACUACUUCAUGAAAAUAGUAAUACGCCUCGCCUGUGGCGGAUUUAAAGGCAAGGAGAGGAGCUUAUGUGAUUGGUGAAAACAGGUCUCGGCUGUGUUAAACCCACUACAUGCCCUUUCUCCUCCCCGUCUACAACUUAUGCUGCUAGGAGGAGCUGAGUUAGAGAGGGGGGAUACUUACGCCGGGCUGCGCGGCUCACCAAAAUACCAAAAUGUGCUUGGGAACGCCUUGUCAGCGCGGCGGAUCUGACUGACGCUGCGCUUGCGGCACAUCUCCGGCGAGGCACCAAAAUAGAGCCCAUACUGUUUAAAAGAGAGAGGCUGGAAUAAAACCAUGGCGAAUAAAACCAGUUUGUGAUCUGACACACAUAUAUCCUUUGUUAAAAACUCCCCAGGACAAAGUCUGGUAAAUAAAACCAAAUCUAGGCAAUGUCCCUUUUCAUGGGUUGUUCCUGUAUUGCCUAAGUUAGAUUAAAGGAGUCCAGAAUUUCAGUAAAAUCAACAGUCAAGGGUUGUGAAGGACAACAUUAAAAUCACCCAAAAUAAGAAUUUUGUCAUAUUUACAAAUAAAAAGGGAUAGAAACUCUGAAAACUCCUGAAUCAAAACAGUGUUGUGUUUGGGUGGUCAGUAAAUGAUUAUGAUUAAAACAGGAUCUUUCAAUUUAACAACAAAAGCAAGUUGCUCAAAAGAAUUAAAAGUGAUGGGGUGGCAAUGAAAAUCCUUCUUGUAUAUAACAAGAAUUCCGGGUCUUGUAAGGAGUUGGCGCCGAAAUGAGGAGCAGUAUGAUCUGUGCUUUUACUCGGUCUAAGUUUCUUUGUUUGGUGAUUAAAAUCUCAGUCAAUUAAAAAGUAUCUAAAACAACGUAAAGGUUAGAGCAAGGGUAUAAAAAUGGCAUCAAAACUUCUGGUAGUCAGAGCGUAGCUGUUGGGUCUAAAACAUACAACAAAUGACUCAAACACAAAGAAGAGAAAGACAAUGGUAUUAGAUUUCUUACUGCGGGGAGAACGGACAGAGAUACGUUCAGUUACAAUCUCCAACCGCUCUGAAGCGUAUCUUGUCGUCUCUUCUCUUUUUAUUAUCCUUAGGGUGGUCCCUAGUUACAAAACGCUGCAUGCACUAAAGGGUGGGGAAACAGCAGGGGCAUCACUAGGUUUUAAGGACAGGGGGGGCUUAGCCCCCAAGAGAUGAACAGGAUGUGAGUGAACGUAGUGAGCGAGCACAAAAUUUCACAAACAGAAAACAAAGACUGAGAAAUUGCUUUUCAGCUUUUUUGGACGGAUUUAACUAAGAUGUAGUCUCAGGCCACCAGGAGUUUUUUUGUUUUAUUUCAGUCUGUUUUUUCUUCAGUUCUUGCAACCACUACUGACCAAACUAUCACCUUUUAUGUUUUGCCAAACACUCUACAUGGGAAACAGAAAGCUGUAUUCUGGUUGACUGAAUAUCCUAACCAGUUGUGUUUUUCAAACCAGCUGUAGUGAAAUGCUCGCUUCUGUGUACCAAAACUAUCUUGUGGGUAGCUCUUCAGCUUGACCUGUCUGGGCCCUGUGUCUUUGUCACCUAAAUCAAACCCUGUAGUGGAAUGAGUUGCUGCAGCUGCUUCAUUAUUUUCCCUCUCUUGGCCUGUUUUCUCUCAUCUCUCAGCUUCCUCUGCCAUUUGCUGCAGCUCCUCAGCCUUUCCUUCUGCCUGACCCUCCAAGAUACAAUGAAACGCAUUGAAUUAAUAACUAAUCCAACAUAGAGGCUAAUGUCAUGACUUAAGCUCACACACCACAGUAAUUUUUUGCUCCCAAAUAGUAAGAUGUUACACAGAUUACAUUUUGGGCCCAUAUGUGACUAAAAUGGUUGCAAUUUAAAGCCCUGAAAAAUAUUACUAAAUUACUUGAAUUAAAGUAAUAUUAAAAUAGAACCCCCAAAAAUAUUAGGGUCAGGCUAAUUUAUCUCUUGGCUCUCUCCACUUUCUAAUCUUGACUCUCUUAAAUAAAAACUCAAAUGAAAUAAGUCUUAUAUGGUGCACCAUGACUGAAAUUUCAUAUUUCAUAUCGAUAUUGAGUUCCAUAAAAUUCUAAUCAGACUGUCUGCAUCACUCCUGUGAAUUCUUUUAUACUCACCUCUCCAGUAGAGGUGUCUCCCCUCUCACUUGCUGUGCUCCUCUGUCCUGACUCCUACAGGUCAGUGGUGAUGGUGGGGUGAGUAUUAUUAGUGCAUUAUUAUUUUCCACUGAUGAUAAUCAUACGUGAAUGAGCUCAGCUCGCUUUUUUCAGAGCUAAAACAAGUGACAGAAAUCAACAUCAUGCUAACAAUUUAACUUGGUGUGACAGCCAGGUUUUUAUUUCUCAAAAUGGGGAGCACCUGGUUCAUAAAUUACAUGGGACUAUUUGCUGUUAGCUGGAGCUUAUUGUUACUACCAGCAGCUAUAAAGACUUACUUUUUUGAAAAACUUGCGUAUACAUGAUGCUGCUCUCUGCCUGGCUCGUGACGUGACCGUCUCGCUGUGACUGUGUGCAGGGAGCAUGUAAGUGCUGCUGCUGGCAGCAGUGAAAGCGCGGACUGGAUUUUCAGUAAUGUGGGCGUUCUCUAUAUCAACAAGUGGAACGGAUUGAAUAACUAAGCGCUGACGAAGGCUCUCCACCUUACACAGUGAAGUCAGGGGAAACCAAAUGAUUUGUGAUCAUAUUUAAGUGAAUAAUGACGUUAUAUUAUUAUUUAUUUAAACUCAUAUUCUUGCGUCUUUGUAUUGAAUUUGUCAGCACUUUUUUGUAAAAUAUAUAUAUAUAUAUAUAUAUAUAUAUAUAUAUAUAUAUAUAUAUAUAUAUAAAAAAAAAAAAAUAUAUAUAAAAUUAUUUAGGGGGGCUAAAGAAUAUUUUAGGGGGGCUUCAGCCCCCCUUCAAUAGGCCUAACGACGCCAAUGGGAAACAGUCUUGCAGCAGCGUGGUCGCUUACAUUAAUUAUAAUCAUUAACAAGCAGACAAUCUGUGAGGGUAAGGUGACCUUGGUUGACAUUUCACAAUCUCCUUCUUAUGGUAGGAACGGUUCCUCCUCUACUACUGCUCCCACGUCUCACAGCGGAGGUUACAAAACACAUACCUGCUAAUUGGAGAAACAAGGUCAGAGAAGUUAGAAAACACUCAUGAGUACUUCCUCAUGUGUUGUGUAACAAGAGGUUAAAGCAGUUCAUAGUUGUAGGAAACUUUUCCACUUGGAAUUUGAGUAAGACUUGAUAAUUUCUAUAUACAUUUAUACACAUUAUUCUGACAUUUCCCUCCUGUUUAUCAUUACUUUGCUCAGAUUUUCAUAAUCCCUCUAGUUCAGCCACUUCUCUCGAUUUUUCAGCUGUGAGUUCAUGUGUAUGACUACAAAUUUACACACAGAGGUACAAGGUGUUGCAUUAGUCAGAAUCAUACUCAUCAUCAGGAUUGGGGCACAGGUCAGGCCAUUGAGUCUCAACAAGUCUGUCCUCCUCGUCCUGUUGUUGGAGCAGCAGGUACAAUUCCUGCACCUGCUGCUCUACAGGGGACAAUGCUGUCGUGAUAAGGCGGUUAAGGAGAGAACGAAUACAGUGAAUACAACAGCAUCCACACAAGGUCAAAAUAGCUGCAAAACAGGAACAGAGAUUAGGACUGAAGCCACAAGGUUUUUAUAUUUUCCAAAGGCAUUCAUCCAGUCUUCCCAAAAUGAUUUAUCUAUUCCUGAGUGGUCUUUCAUUUUGCCAUUAAGUGUUCUAAGGCCCUUUAUAGCUUGAGUGAGGCUGCCAUCGGCAGCAGUCUUGUUAGGAAUGAACGUGCAACACAUUUCUCCAAAUAUGGCACAUACACCUCCUUUUCUGCGAGCAGCAUGUCAAGGGCUAUACGGUUUUGGAAAGCCAUCAGGGAUGUUGCAGACAACUGCGAGUGGAUGGCCUGGAAACCAGCCUCAGUCCAGUUACCUAGCUUUUGAACAUUGAAAUGGAUGUAGUUGAUUUAAUCUACAUUUUUUGCCAUUGUGCACCAAGGACAGAUGAGAGACUCAAAACCUGCAGCGACUUGAUCUACCAAUUUAUAUUUAUCUGGUACCCCACGAGGAACUCCAAUAGGAUCUAUGUAAGUCAGGUCUGAUUCUGUUUGCCAGUUUUUUUUUGCUCUGGGGUGGCUCAACAAGGGAAUAAGACUAACUGCAGAGGUUAAAUUUGCCACACUGGUCAGGAAAGUUACAACAGGUAAGAUCAAGGUUACUAAGGCAAAGACUCCAGUUUUGUUUAUGGGCAAUUUGAUUUCUCCACACCACCACCAGAUGUCACUCCUGGACAGUGGUUUGAAGGAUGAUCCAGCAACAGUCAAUGUGGCUUUACACCAGCUGCUGUUGAUUGAGCCUAAACUCUCAGCUGUCCCUGUAAUAUUUACGCAAGUGAAAUUUCCACGUGCUACAUGGGUGGAAAAGAAAGGUUUUCGUGGUUCAGGGGCCUCAUUUAUAAAGCUUGCUUACGCACAAAACCUGGCUUGAAAGCGCUUACGCCACUUCUUACGCAAGAGUUGGGAUUUAUAAAAAAAAACUAGUGUAGGAAUGCGCGCAACUUUAAGCAAACUCCACACCUUGCUUACGCACUUUUUGGAGACAAUUGGAGCAAAGUGAGAACAAUGGGUUAAUGGAAAGCGCGCAUAUAAAAAGCCAUACAGUGACAGUCGUGCGCAAUGCAGCACAAGUUUCAAGUUUCAAGUUUUAUUUGUCACAUGCCUAAAUGUACAGAUACAGUGGCAGUGAAAUGAAAAUGACGUCUCCGAUUGUGCCAAAAAAACAGAAUAAUAAUAAUGUAAAGUCUGUUCAGAGGGUGUUGUGAAGUCAGUUAUGGGGUGUGUGUUAUGAGGAGUUCAGUAUCCGUGUGGCCUGGGGGAGGAACCUGGAGUCCUGGCUCUGAUGGAGCGAAGCCUCUUACCCGAGGGCAGCCACUCAAACAGUCUGUGGUUGGGAUGGUGAGUGUUUGAUAAUCCGUCUUGCCCUGGACCUGCACCACUCGGUGUAGAUGUCCUGGAGGCCGGGCAGUGCAGUCCGGGUGAUGCGUUCAGCAAAAUGGAUGACUCGAUGCAGGGCCUUUCUGUCCUGAGAGCUGCAGCUGCUGUACCAGGCAGUGAUGCUCGCAGAAAGCACAGACCCCACUGUGGCGGUGUAGAAAGUUUGCCAAUUUGAAUUUACAAAUGUGCAAAAAAACAAAUUCCAUUUACAUGCAUUUGUUUUAAGAUUAAUAUGACUAAAUCCUUUUGGUUUACGAACUUUCACCACAUAAGCAGCGGUGGAUAACGGAGCAGUUUUUUUUGGAACACAUGCAUGAGUGUCACACGUGCUUGUGUUUUCUGAUCCUCACCUGUCGCCGCCACGCUCCGACGGUGCAAAGCCACUUUUUUCUUUGCCUCCACCUUUAGAUCAGACCACUUCUUCUUGAUUUCGGCAACGCUGCGCUCAGUGCCAGCCGCACUUACCGCAACGGCAACGCCGUGCCAUUCGGUGGCUUUUCUUUUAUUGGUGAUGCCACUCGAAUGGCCGCCGAGGUCUCCCGUCUCGCCGCCACCUCAUUUACAAGAACCUCCACCUCGGUCUCUGAAAAGUUUUUUUCUACGACUUGCUGAUGCCAUGAUUAAGCGUGAAAUGCCGUGGAGCCAUCAGGCUUAUUUAUAUGCAAAUCACAUUCAUGAGGUAAUUUGCAUGACCAUACAUGGUGAAUUUUGGGUGUGGAGAGGGCGGGGCAUGAAUCAAAUCCCUGCUGCGCAACUUUCCGGCUGGUCUGUGAUUUAUAAUGGGAAAGUGCGUGCAGGUGUGCGUAGGCAGGGUUUUAUAAAUCAGAUUUUUUUUUUUUGCCUACGCACUUUUCAGCUUUUCAACUUAUGUACACUUUUAGUAUGGAUCCUACGCCAGGUUUUAUAAAUGAGGCCCCAGGUCUGGUCAGAGGGAAUAUUCCAUCCCAUUCUGUGCAGUUGCUGUUAACGGUGACGUUAGUCAUUAACAGCAGGACGCAGGUCGACAGGACCACAGCUGGUACUACUCGCAGGAGUGGUCUCAGGCCCAUGCAAACCACACAGUCUUUUUUUGUCAUGUUUGCAGCUUGUUCUGCCAUUAGUAACUAAUUAUUGUGAUUUCCUGAUAUGCCUGUGGUGACCUGGAACCACUCAUCCACAGUUUUGAGUUCACCACGGGCCACAACUCCUCCUGCUUUCCCUGCAGGGGAAACUUGUGGUUUUGUUGGUGAGAUUUCAUUUCUAGUACAAUUGAACUCACACAGCGAUAUCAGAAAUGAUAGAUCAGUGCCAGAGGACCAAGCCCAUAACAGGAACAACCAGCACUGACCUCCCUUCCCCCGUAUACCCUGGGGGAGUCAGUGUUCGUCCAUUCGUGAGAUUCACCGUUAUCAAUUUAUUAUCUUUUCGAGGAUCUCUUAAAUUUAUGAUUUCCCUGUGGUAUGAGGCCCAUGCAUCUGUGGUUUGAGUAGUCCAAUCAUAGCCAUUGGGAUCGUCUACUAGCGCGCCCCAUCCCUGGUUUUGUUGAUUAUUUGUCAUAUACCAUUUUGUGUAGCCCGUUCCCUUAUAUCCUUUAUAAGAGAGACUGCCUACUGGGAUGGUUAUAACAGAAGUCUGGUUUGCCGGUAAAUACACCGCAGGAAUGGAAGCAUGCAUUCAUGUCGCAUUGACUGCACAGCUAAUUUUUUUUGUCUUUAUUUUCUCGUUUAGGCCUAUUAUGGGUGAAGCCUGGAGUAUAUAUGUUGUUACCUGCAGACAAACCUUAUCCUAGGGUUGUCAUCAGCAGGGCUCUGAAUAACACUGUCACAGUCAUUUUUACCGAAACAACGACCCCUAUCCUGCAGUCAGUGGCUUUGAAAUAAGGUUUCAUAAGGAGUCAAUCCACUAGUUCUUGUUAUAUUGAUGUAGAGUUUCACGAGGUCCAGACACUGUGUCCACGGUCUGUUUGUUUCUUCCAUACAUUUUUUAAGUCUGUUUUUUAUUGUUCCAUUCAUUCGUUCUACUAGGCCUGCACUUUGAGGAUGGUAUGCACAAUGAUAUUAAAGGUCCAUAUGGAACAUUUGUCCUAUUCUUUUGAUGAUUUGGUUCACAAAGUGAGUGCCAUUGUCGCUGCAAAUUAUUUCUGGGAUACCAUACCGAGGUAUGAUGUCUUUACAAAGUGCUUUAGCGACCGUCAAUGCAUCUGGUGUUUUAGUUGGGAAAAGCUCUAACCAUUUGGAAAAUGCAUCUAUUAUCACUUGGGCUUAGUUCGAUAAAGUCCAUGUGUAUGACCUGGAAGGGGUAUUUUGGUUCAGGGAAACUGCAUGUUUUCAUUCUGUGAUUUCCCUGAGGAUUAUGUUUGGUGCAUGUUAAACAUGCUCUGCAAAAAUUUUUUGAAUAAGAGUUAAAUCCAUAUGCAGUAAAGUGCUGCUGUAUCCAUCCUACCAUCCCUCCUGUUGAGACAUGUGUGGAACCAUGGCUCAAUAUUGCUGCCCAUUUAAAAAGAUUCUUUGGUAGGAUAGGCUUCCCUUCAGGUCAUACAUAGAUGCCAUUUUGCAAAUGUGCUCUUUGUUUAGUCCAGAGUUUGAUUUCAGUUUUUGGGAUCUGUUGUUGCAUUGUUUUAAGAACAUCAUCAGAAAGUGCGUCAGUAUACUCCAAGGUCCAGACUGAGAUCUCACCCUCAGCCGUAGCCUUGGCCGUCUUUUCUGCAAAUGCGUUUCCCAGUGAAACAGAAUCUGUUCCAGAAGUGUGGGUGGCACAUUUGCAAAUAGCUAACUUUUUUGGUAGAUGUACGGCGGCUAAGAGUUCCAUCAGGAGCUGAGCGUGAGUCACAGGUUUACCGGUAGGAGUCAUCAUGCCUCUAUUUUUCCAAUAUUGUGCAAAAGUAUGUGUAGUGGCGAAAGCAUAUUGGCUAUCGGUGUAAAUUGUGACUUCUUUUCCGGCUAUGAUUUUGCAAGCUUCAGUAAGCGCAACCAGUUCUGCUGCUUGAGCAGAGAAACUUGAUGGUAAUUUUGCUGCUUUUAAAACGGUUGCGCUAGUUACAACUGCAUAACCCGUUAAGGUUUUACCACAUUCAUUCUUUUUGGAGGAACCAUCCACAAAGAGGGUUUCUCCAGUUUGCAGAGGUUGAUCUUGCAAAUCGGCUCGGCUUUUUGCUGUUUGUUCAGCUAACUCCUGACAGUUAUGCUUAGCGCCAUCAUCUGGCAGAGGGAGCAAAGUAGCUGGAUUUAAGGUUGUGCAUCAUUCUACAGUCAUGUGUGGCUGUGAUAGCAGAGUCGACAUGCAAGACAAAUGUCAUGCCGGAGACAAGAAAGUCAUAUUAGUCUGCAACAGUGAAACUGAAUGAGGCACUUGCAACGUGAGUGUGUGAAACAGUACUGUGGUAGCACUGACUUCCACAGCCAUCGAGGCCGCUAUCACAGCUCUGACGCAAUGAGGCAAUGCACAAGCUACGCUAUCAAGCUUGGAUGAAUAAUACACUACUGGUUUCAGUUUUGCUCCAUGUUGUUGUGUAAGGACAGAGGUCAUGAACUGUCCCUUGCAGUCUACCAUCUGAAUAAAUGGCUUACUAUAGUCUGGCAGUGCUAAAGCUGUACUGGACACUAAAGCUUGCUUGAUGUUACAGAACGCUGUUUCAGCUUCAGGUGUCCAUUGUAUCAAAGAUGUCAUCUUUAGGUCUUCAUCCUACAUUAGUUAACUCAAAGGUUGAGUUAUUUCAGCAUAAUUAGGAACCCAUGUUCUGCAAUAGUUUGUUAGGCCUAGAAAUGACAUCAUUUGUUUCUUUGUAAGUGGUUUAGGAGCUUGUAGGAUAGCUGUUUUUCUACUCUCAACUAUGGUGCAGCCUGCUGCACUAAGAUUGUGGCACAAGUAUUUUACCUCUGUCUUACAGAGCUGCAAUUUGUUUUUACUGGCCUUGUGUCCUUCAGCAGCUAAGCGUUCUAAUAAUGCCAGUGUAUCUGCCUUACAGGUGGCUUCAUCGGGUGAGGCCAGAAGGAUGUCAUCGACAUACAGAAGGACUUGAAUCCCAUGAGGGGGAGUGAACUUCGACAUACUGGAGCUCAUGAUCUGGGAGUAUAUUGUAGGACUUUCGCAAUAACCCUGUGGUAGCCGAGUGUAUGUGUACCGCUGGCCUCCAAAGGUGAAGGCGAACCAGUACUGACUGUCUUUAUCCGCCGGUACUGAGAAAAAUGCAUUGCUAAUGUCCACUACUGUAAAUACAGUAGCAUCUGAUCUUUUUCAAAACACCAUUUCUGCCUUCAGCAAGCAAUGCAGCUGCUAAAGCUGCUGGACCUUUGUUUGGUAAGUCUAGACUGUACCAAUAAUGAGGUUGGCCUUGACCCUGGGAAACAAAAAUGUCUCCUGGGCCUAAUUCAUCUUUUCUUUUCACCAGCAUCAGCCCACAAGAAGAGGGCACCAAGGCCAAGCUCAAGCUCAACGGUCCGUCUCAACCAAGCGAAUUUACUGGACACUGUGGCAUGUCCAACGCACUGAACUGACAGGAUGUGCCCUGGGGGUGUGGGUCCCUAAACCACAACGGUGUGGUCUGGGGCACAUCUGAGAGUUCUCCAUUUGCAGCUCUUACUUUCAUGGUUUUGCCUGAGAAUGUCACAUGUGGUAUUGGUUCUUUUAUUGUGGUUUCACAAGCGCCGCUGUCGCAAAGGAAUGUCAUUUCCUUUCCAUUUACGAGCAGCUGCACUUCUGGUUUCACAUGGUUCAUAAUAAAAUAUCUCAAUAUAUCAGACUCUUUCCUUUGUCCUUCAUACUGUCAUGCUUGAUUUUGAUCUCGCCCUGACUGUUCAUGCCUUUCUCCAUCUAAUUUGUUCUUGCAAUCAUGGCUUUAUGUACCUCCUUUCCACAUGCCCAGCAACCUGUCCCUCUUUGGUUUGCUCCUCCUGGUCUGGGCCUACCCUGUCCUCUACCUCCGAACCCUCCUCUG